AAGGGAGCUUGCUCCCGGAUGUUAGCGGCGGACGGGUGAGUAACACGUGGGUAACCUGCCUGUAAGACUGGGAUAACUCCGGGAAACCGGAGCUAAUACCGGAUAGUUCCUUGAACCGCAUGGUUCAAGGAUGAAAGACGGUUUCGGCUGUCACUUACAGAUGGACCCGCGGCGCAUUAGCUAGUUGGUGGGGUAAUGGCUCACCAAGGCGACGAUGCGUAGCCGACCUGAGAGGGUGAUCGGCCACACUGGGACUGAGACACGGCCCAGACUCCUACGGGAGGCAGCAGUAGGGAAUCUUCCGCAAUGGACGAAAGUCUGACGGAGCAACGCCGCGUGAGUGAUGAAGGUUUUCGGAUCGUAAAGCUCUGUUGUUAGGGAAGAACAAGUGCGAGAGUAACUGCUCGCACCUUGACGGUACCUAACCAGAAAGCCACGGCUAACUACGUGCCAGCAGCCGCGGUAAUACGUAGGUGGCAAGCGUUGUCCGGAAUUAUUGGGCGUAAAGGGCUCGCAGGCGGUUUCUUAAGUCUGAUGUGAAAGCCCCCGGCUCAACCGGGGAGGGUCAUUGGAAACUGGGAAACUUGAGUGCAGAAGAGGAGAGUGGAAUUCCACGUGUAGCGGUGAAAUGCGUAGAGAUGUGGAGGAACACCAGUGGCGAAGGCGACUCUCUGGUCUGUAACUGACGCUGAGGAGCGAAAGCGUGGGGAGCGAACAGGAUUAGAUACCCUGGUAGUCCACGCCGUAAACGAUGAGUGCUAAGUGUUAGGGGGUUUCCGCCCCUUAGUGCUGCAGCUAACGCAUUAAGCACUCCGCCUGGGGAGUACGGUCGCAAGACUGAAACUCAAAGGAAUUGACGGGGGCCCGCACAAGCGGUGGAGCAUGUGGUUUAAUUCGAAGCAACGCGAAGAACCUUACCAGGUCUUGACAUCCUCUGACAACCCUAGAGAUAGGGCUUUCCCUUCGGGGACAGAGUGACAGGUGGUGCAUGGUUGUCGUCAGCUCGUGUCGUGAGAUGUUGGGUUAAGUCCCGCAACGAGCGCAACCCUUGAUCUUAGUUGCCAGCAUUUAGUUGGGCACUCUAAGGUGACUGCCGGUGACAAACCGGAGGAAGGUGGGGAUGACGUCAAAUCAUCAUGCCCCUUAUGACCUGGGCUACACACGUGCUACAAUGGACAGAACAAAGGGCUGCGAGACCGCAAGGUUUAGCCAAUCCCAUAAAUCUGUUCUCAGUUCGGAUCGCAGUCUGCAACUCGACUGCGUGAAG
rnacentral:rRNA from 1 species